AACGAACGCUGGCGGCGUGCCUAACACAUGCAAGUCGAACGCUACCGUCGGGUCUUUUGGCUCCCUGGUUCGUUCCGCAACGGGACCUUCCCUUAGAUUCAGAAUGCCUCCCCGCGAGGGAUGCUAAUUCCGAAUGAUGUCUUCUGCCCAAUGAUUUAUUGGCUAGGGUUGGGGUCGCUUUAGAUUAGCGAGUUGGUAAGGUAAAAGCCUACCAAGGAGAAGUUCCAUAGCUGGUCUGGGAGCAUGACCAGGCACACUGGGACUGAGACACGGCCGAGACCUCUAGGGAAGGGAGCAGUGGGGAAUAUUGGACACUGGGCGAAAGACGGAGCCAGCAAUGUCGUGUGAGUGAGGAAGGCCUUAGGGUUGUAAAGCUCUGUGAAACGGGAUGAUAAUGACAGUACCGUGAGAAUAAGCUCCGGCUAACUCCGUG
rnacentral:rRNA from 1 species